rnacentral:rRNA from 1 species
AGUCGAACGAUGAAGCCUUUCGGGGUGGAUUAGUGGCGAACGGGUGAGUAACACGUGGGCAAUCUGCCCUUCACUCUGGGACAAGCCCUGGAAACGGGGUCUAAUACCGGAUAACACUCUGUCCCGCAUGGGACGGGGUUGAAAGCUCCGGCGGUGAAGGAUGAGCCCGCGGCCUAUCAGCUUGUUGGUGGGGUAAUGGCCUACCAAGGCGACGACGGGUAGCCGGCCUGAGAGGGCGACCGGCCACACUGGGACUGAGACACGGCCCAGACUCCUACGGGAGGCAGCAGUGGGGAAUAUUGCACAAUGGGCGAAAGCCUGAUGCAGCGACGCCGCGUGAGGGAUGACGGCCUUCGGGUUGUAAACCUCUUUCAGCAGGGAAGAAGCGAAAGUGACGGUACCUGCAGAAGAAGCGCCGGCUAACUACGUGCCAGCAGCCGCGGUAAUACGUAGGGCGCAAGCGUUGUCCGGAAUUAUUGGGCGUAAAGAGCUCGUAGGCGGCUUGUCACGUCGGAUGUGAAAGCCCGGGGCUUAACCCCGGGUCUGCAUUCGAUACGGGCUAGCUAGAGUGUGGUAGGGGAGAUCGGAAUUCCUGGUGUAGCGGUGAAAUGCGCAGAUAUCAGGAGGAACACCGGUGGCGAAGGCGGAUCUCUGGGCCAUUACUGACGCUGAGGAGCGAAAGCGUGGGGAGCGAACAGGAUUAGAUACCCUGGUAGUCCACGCCGUAAACGUUGGGAACUAGUGUUGGCGACAUUCCACGUCGUCGGUGCCGCAGCUAACGCAUUAAGUUCCCCGCCUGGGGGAGUAC